AACUUUUGACAACCGAUCUCUUGGCUCUCGCAUCGAUGAAGAACGCAGCGAAAUGCGAUACGUAAUGUGAAUUGCAGAAUUCAGUGAAUCAUCGAAUCUUUGAACGCAUAUUGCGCUCUUUGGUAUUCCGAAGAGCAUGCUUGUUUGAGUAUCAGUAAACACCUCAACCUCCUCUUGUUUUUUCAAAAGGAGGGUGGACUUGAGCUAUCCCAACAACCUUCACCGGUAGGCGGGCGGCUUGAAAUGCAGGUGCAGCUGGACUUUUAUCUGAGCUAAAAGCAUAUCUAUUUAGUCCUCGUCAAACAGGAUUAUUACUAUUGCUGCAGCUAACAUAAAGGAUAAUUGUCCUCAUUGCUGACUGAUGCAGGAUUUUACGACACUUUAUGUGUUGUUCAACUCGAUCUCAAAUCAAGUAAGACUACCCGCUGAACUUAAGCAUAUCAAUAAGCGGAGGCU
rnacentral:misc_RNA from 1 species